rnacentral:tRNA from 2 species
GCACCUUUAGCUUAAUGGUAAAGUUAUUAUUUUCGGCAUAACAGAUAUUGGUUCGAUUCCAGUAAGGUGUU